GAGAUGUUAGUUAAUCCAUAACACUGCCUUGUCAAGGCAUAAUCACAAACUAAACCCUGUACAUCUCC
rnacentral:tRNA from 1 species